GACGAACGCUGGCGGCGUGCCUAAUACAUGCAAGUAGAACGCACAGUUUAUACCGUAGCUUGCUACACCAUAGACUGUGAGUUGCGAACGGGUGAGUAACGCGUAGGUAACCUGCCUGGUAGCGGGGGAUAACUAUUGGAAACGAUAGCUAAUACCGCGUAAUAUUAAUUAUUGCAUGAUAAUUAAUUGAAAGGUGCAAUUGCACCACUACCAGAUGGACCUGCGUUGUAUUAGCUAGUAGGUGAGGUAACGGCUCACCUAGGCGACGAUACAUAGCCGAACUGAGAGGGGGAUCGGCCACACUGGGACUGAGACACGGCCCAGACUCCUACGGGAGGCAGCAGUAGGGAAUCUUCGGAAAUGGACGAAAGUCUGACCGAGCAACGCCGCGUGAGUGAAGAAGGUUUUCGGAUCGUAAAGCUCUGUUGUAAGAGAAGAACGGGUGUGAGAGUGGAAAGUUCACACUGUGACGGUAUCUUACCAGAAAGGGACGGCUAACUACGUG
rnacentral:rRNA from 1 species